rnacentral:misc_RNA from 1 species
GCAAACUUGGUCAUUUAGAGGAAGUAAAAGUCGUAACAAGGUUUCCGUAGGUGAACCUGCGGAAGGAUCAUUACUAAAUAAAACAAAACAAUCCCCCACACCUCUGUGCACCAUUUUGUUGGCGUGGAUGAUGGUUUUCUUGGGUGUGCUUUAGAAGUACGCCUUUGAUUGUUCCCAUCUUCCACCCGCUUCAUAUAUAUUUUUCCUAUACGUUUUUUUCCUAAUUCUUGAAUAAAGAUGAAGAAAACAAUAACAACUUUCAGCAACGGAUCUCUUGGCUCUCGCAUCGAUGAAGAACGCAGC